GAGAAAGUAAAUAAGGGCGUAUGGAGAAUGCCUUGGCUCUCAGAGGCGAUGAAGGACGUGAUAAGCUGCGAAAAGCCACGGGGAUCGGCACAUACGAAUUGAUCCGUGGAUAUCCGAAUGGGACAACCCACCAUGCUGAAGGCAUGGUAUUCUGUUGUAAGACAGAAGGCGAACCCGGGGAACUGAAACAUCUAAGUACCUGGAGGAAGAGAAAACAAUAGUGAUUUCCUGAGUAGUGGCGAGCGAAAGGGAACAAGCCCAAACCCGAUCAGUUAAGGCUGGUUGGGGGUUGUAGGACCGCGCCAUAGAUUAUUAAAUUGAACAUGAAUGAGUUGGGAAGCUCAACCAUAGAUGGUGAAAGUCCAGUAGUGGUAAGUUUUAAUAAUUUUAGCGGUAUCCUGAGUAAGGCGGAGCAGGUGAAACUCUGUCUGAAUCUACCGGCACCAUCCGGUAAGGCUAAAUACUACUGAGAGACCGAUAGCGAACUAGUACCGUGAGGGAAAGGUGAAAAGUACCGUGAAUAACGGGGUGAAAUAGAUCCUGAAACCAUACGCUUACAAGCGGUCGGAGUCCUGUAAGGGAUGACGGCGUGCCUUUUGCAUAAUGAGCCUACGAGUUACUCUUCAUUGGCAAGGUUAAGGCUUUAAGAGCCGGAGCCGGAGCGAAAGCGAGUCUGAAUAGGGCGUAAUAGUCAGUGGAGGUAGACGCGAAACUUGGUGAUCUACCCAUGUCCAGGGUGAAGUGUCAGUAACAUGACAUGGAGGCCCGAACCAGUAUACGUUGAAAAGUGUUUGGAUGAGAUGUGGGUAGGGGUGAAAGGCCAAUCAAACCAAGAAAUAGCUCGUACUCCCCGAAAUGCUUUUAGGAGCAGCGUUGGGGUUGAGUCUGAUAGAGGUAGAGCUACCAAUUGGACUAGGGGGAGUCACAUCCUACCAAAUCCAGAUGAACUCCGAAUGCUAUUAGAUAUACCCAGCAGUGAGGGUAAGGGUGCUAAGGUCCUUAUCCGAGAGGGAAAGAACCCAGACCAUCAGCUAAGGUCCCCAAGUAUAUGCUAAGUUGAACUAAGGAGGUCCAGUUGCCCAGACAGCCAGGAUGUUGGCUUGGAAGCAGCCAUUCAUUUAAAGAGUGCGUAACAGCUCACUGGUCGAGCGACAGGGCAUCAAUGAUAAUCGGGCAUUAAGCAUAUCACCGAAGCUAUGGUCUCGCAGCAAUGCGAGAGGUAGGGGAGCAUUCCAUAGGCAGUGAAGGUGUCUCGUGAGAGGUGCUGGAGCGUAUGGAAAAGCAAAUGUAGGCAUAAGUAACGAUAAGGCAGAUGAGAAAUCUGCCCACCGAUAGACUAAGGUUUCCCCGGCAAUGCUAAUCAGCCGGGGGUUAGUCGGGACCUAAGGCGAACCCGCAAGGGGUAGUCGAUGGAGAAUCGGUUAAUAUUCCGAUACUGACUUUAAGAGUGAUGGAGUGACGGAGCAGUGAAAGGCCCGCCCCGUGACGGAAUACGGGGUUGAAGCGAGUAGGUAUAGGCCGGGUAGGCAAAUCCGCCUGGCUUGCUGAACGUGAUAGUACAACAAUCCUUCGGGAGCGUUGAUAGUGGCCCUAAUCAGACUUCCAAGAAAAACUUCUAAACUUAUCUUAAAGCCACCCGUACCGCAAACCGACACAGGUAGUCAAGGAGAGAAUCCUGAGGUGCUCGAGUGAUUCAUGGCUAAGGAACUAGGCAAAAUGACCCUGUAACUUCGGGAGAAGGGGUGCCCACGCAAGUGGGCCGCAGUGAAAAGGUCCAGGCGACUGUUUAGCAAAAACACAUGGCUUUGCGAAAUCGAAAGAUGAUGUAUAAGGCCUGACACCUGCCCGGUGCUGGAAGGUUAAGGGGGGAUGUUAUUCCGCAAGGGAGAAGCAUUGAACCGAAGCCCCAGUAAACGGCGGCCGUAACUAUAACGGUCCUAAGGUAGCGAAAUUCCUUGUCGGGUAAGUUCCGACCUGCACGAAUGGUGUAACGAUCUGGAUACUGUCUCAGCCAUGAGCUCGGUGAAAUUGUAGUCGCGGUGAAGAUGCCGCGUACCCGCAACGGGACGGAAAGACCCCGUGAACCUUUACUACAACUUAACAUUGGUACUAGGUAAAUCAUGUGCAGGAUAGGUGGGAGACUAUGAAGCGGUGCCGCCAGGUGUCGUGGAGUCAAUGGUGAAAUACCACCCUUGAUUUAUCGGGUGCCUAAUCCCUUUCAGGGAAACAGUGUUUGGUGGGUAGUUUGACUGGGGUGGUCGCCUCCAAAAGAGUAACGGAGGCUUUCAAAGGUACCCUCAGCAUGGUCGGUAAUCAUGCGUAGAGCGCAAUAGCAUAAGGGUGCUUGACUGUGAGGCCUACAAGCCGAGCAGGGACGAAAGUCGGAUAUAGUGAUCCGGUGGUUCCGAAUGGAAGGGCCAUCGCUCAAAGGAUAAAAGGUACUCCGGGGAUAACAGGCUGAUCUCCCCCAAGAGCUCAUAUCGACGGGGAGGUUUGGCACCUCGAUGUCGGCUCGUCACAUCCUGGGGCUGGAGAAGGUCCCAAGGGUUGGGCUGUUCGCCCAUUAAAGUGGCACGCGAGCUGGGUUCAGAACGUCGUGAGACAGUUCGGUCCCUAUCUGUUGUGGGCGUAAGAAGCUUGAGAGGACCUGACCUUAGUACGAGAGGACCGGGUUGGACAAGCCUCUAGUGUACCGGUUGUGGCGCCAGCUGCAUCGCCGGGUAGCUACGCUUGGUUGAGAUAAGCGCUGAAAGCAUCUAAGCGCGAAACUCACCUCAAGAUGAGGCUUCUUUUAAGGGUCGUCAGAGACGAUGACGUUGAUAGGCUGCAGGUGUAAAGCCAGUAAUGGCAAAGCCGAGCAGUACUAAUUGCCCGUAAGCUUUCCUAU
rnacentral:rRNA from 1 species